UUUAACCUAUCUUAACUAUUUGAGUUUCAAGAUUAAGUUCGUCAGUCGUAGUUGGAACGCAGUGAUCUAUACUUCAAAUCCCGUAGGACCGUCCAAAGCACCGAGCCGUUGUCACAUCUUAUAUAUACGUCGACAAUAAUAAGUGAUCCAUCGUCGGUUCUAUGUACACAUUCUGAGGUGGAUCGUGGGCGAUUGCUUAACUAAGAUGUGUUUUAAAAUAGUUGAAAAACGUCAGUACACAUCUCCUCAAAAAUAAAAUCUCGUGACACGUUUUGAUUUUAAAUGACAGACUAAUAUUCACGGUGGAGUAUAUAGUGAAUAUUAUAAACGUCAAAACCGCCGUCAGGAAGGUGAAACUCACUGACCUCUUUGGUCACAUAUGGUUUACAUUUGCAAGACUAUAUUAUACGCAACGUGACACGAGGAUGUCGGCUGUCUAAUGAUCGAACGUCGUAUAUAUAAACACACGCAUAAUAGAUCGGGACGUUUCAUAAUAAUAAUAUAUAGCAGUAUAACACACGUGGGAUGGCUUUCGACAAAAAUACAUCGAAAUAAUUGUGCGGAGACAGAUGUUCGAGUAUCAAGGUCACGAAUGAAGAAAUAUUUUUUUUUUUUGAAUUUGAAUUUGAACACUACUAAACAGGUAUAUCAAGACAUUGGGCUGUUUAAUAAUACAGUCUAUAUAUAUAUAUAUAUAUAUAUAGCAUCAAAUGGAACGUUCAUAUAUACAAAUAUAAUGAAAAGGUACAAUAAAGGGUGACCAUUUUCGACGGGUGAACAGAGAGCAAUUUAUCUUCGAAACAAUUAAUUUCAAGCACGUCUCUGAGGUAGGUACCUAUCCUUUUAAUACGCGAUGUCCUGGAUAGUUCUACCCGUGUAUAUAUACUCAGCUAUUGUAUCCACUACGCACGCACUGUGAUAAAUUUCAAAUUUUGGACGAAUGUAAAACAAAAUAAUAUUUUUGAAAACGAUAAAUGGGUCUUACAGUGUCGGUUUAUGCUCAAAACAAACAAUACACCCUUACAAAGAAGCGUUUUCAAAUUCUUGAUUUUUUUUUUUUUUUUUUGUACAACUUAAGAAGUAUCUUGUGAUGAUAUGAUGAUAAAAAC